rnacentral:rRNA from 1 species
GUUGAGAGACUGGCCGGCCACAUUGGGACUGAGACACUGCCCAAACUCCUACGGGAGGCUGCAGUAGGGAAUUUUCCGCAAUGCACGAAAGUGUGACGGAGCGACGCCGCGUGUGUGAUGAAGGCUUUCGGGUCGUAAAGCACUGUUGUAAGGGAAGAAUAACUGAAUUCAGAGAAAGUUUUCAGCUUGACGGUACCUUACCAGAAAGGGAUGGCUAAAUACGUGCCAGCAGCCGCGGUAAUACGUAUGUCCCGAGCGUUAUCCGGAUUUAUUGGGCGUAAAGCGAGCGCAGACGGUUUAUUAAGUCUGAUGUGAAAUCCCGAGGCC